rnacentral:rRNA from 1 species
UACAGAGGUCCCAAGCGUUUGUUCGGGAUUCACUGGGCGUAAAGGGUGCGUAGGUGGCUUGGUAAGUUUGAUGUGAAAUCUCCGGGCUUAACCCGGAAAUGGCAUUGAAUACUACUUUAGCUGGAGGUUUGGAGGGGGGACUGGAAUUCUCGGUGUAGCAGUGAAAUGACGUAGAUAUCGAGAGGAACACCAGUGGCGAAGGCGAGUCCCUGGACAACACCUGACACUGAGGCAACGGAAAGCUAGGGGAGCAAACAGG